GCCUGGGUGGCUCAGUCAGUUAAGCGUCUGACUUCGACUCAGGUCAUGAUCUCACGGUUCGUGAGUUCGAGCCCCGCGUCAGGCU
rnacentral:tRNA from 1 species